rnacentral:lncRNA from 1 species
GAUUUUGAGGAUCCAACAACUUCAUUAUUUCUUCUUUUUCAUCAUCUCUACCACAAACAUCAGACUCGUCCACCAAAGAAGUUGCAGGCGUUCUUUGAAAUGCCUUUUCUCCUUCAGAGUUUUCUUUCAGACCCAGAAUCUGUUUUUGGUUCAGUAGGUUGUCUAGUCUCCCAAGGAUCUCCUCUAGCUUUGACUGCGCCCCAUCUUUGAAAGGAUUCAAAGAAGAGAAAAAGCUACUAACCUGCUUCAUAUUAGUAGUUUGAUAUUCUGAUUCAAUCUUGUUCCGAAGAGCUUCAGUAGAGAUCUCGUCCAGGAGGUCCUCGGCAUCAUAAACAGCAUCUUUGAGCUCAUCGGUCCAACUUUUGACAUUUGGGUUGGCAAUCUGCUUAUUUUCAGCAUCAUCCAACACUGCUUUCACCGACAUCAAGGUUGGCUUGAGUUUGUUCAGCAGCACAGCUUCAAGUUUCUUUCCUUUGAUAAGCCUCAGAACAUCGGCAGAAACAAUCCUAUCAAGCAGCACCUCAAUGGAAGCAGAGAGAAAAGCUUCACCCACCAAAGCCAUGUUUUUUUGUGGGGUUUUUUGGUAAAGAAAGGUUUAAAGGAAGAUGAAAAGGGAAGUAAUAACAAAGAAAGGAAAAGAAGAGUGCUUCAACUAAAGAGAAGACACGGUUGCAAAGAUGAAGGAUUUGAAUUUGAAACAGAGAAAGGAACAGUAGAAGGAUUGGAUGAAAGGGGAAGGCUUUAACUCGCAAAUACUUUAGUUUCAAUAAAGAUGAAGCAGCCUCAUCCAAUUUGUGUAUAAAAUUUCUUUAUUGGAAUGUUUGAAAACAUGAUUUUGGGUUGAAAAUUUUAAAUUUUUUUUAUAACGUAUAAAAAGUAUGGAAAAUUAAUGUAUUACACAAAUGAUGAAAUAAUAUGGAAAACAAUAUAAUAAUAUAAAAAUAUUUUGAAAUUUAUAUUUACAAAUUAAGUAAAAGUAUUAUGGAGCUCUUUCUACUAAAAGUUAGAUUCGUAAUUUAUUUUUUAUUUAAAAAAAAGGGUAAAUUAAUCUCCGUACAUUAAAUUAAGAGUAAAAUAAUUAUUUUGUUAAAAUUUUUAUCCAUUUAAAUUAUUAAAAAUCGGUCCUAGUAUAUCAAUUUUUAACAGUACAAAUGGAUGAAAUUUUUAACAAAAAAGGAUCAAUUGGUUCUUUGAUCUAACGUAUAAGAACUAAUUUACUCAUCUUAUAGUGAAUGAGAUAAAAUAAAAUCUAACUCUUAAUAUAGAGAGCUCCAUAAUAUUUUACCGUGCAAAUUAUAUAUUAACAUAUCAAAGAAAUUUAUAUAAAUAUAAAAAUACGAUACAUAUCCAUAAAUUGUUAGAUCUAAUUAUAAUAGCCAAGUAGUUUAAAAUAAAUAAAUAUCAGAAUAGAGAAAUGAGAUUAAUAUUCACGAAACUAGAUAAAAGGAACAGUAAAUAAUUGGUGCUGCCUAACUAAUUGACGGCACCCUCUUAUUUAAAUUGAUGAUACCUAUAUUUCAAACCAAAAUACGAAUUUAUUUUAAAAGGAUAAUAAAUAAAACGAAAUAAUAAUAAUUUUUUAUUCCCAGAUGGCACCCUAUUAUUUUUAAAAGAAAAAUUGUUUUUUGUACUCUCCUUAUGUAUAUCCAUAAGGAACCCCCAUAAGCCAUAAGCCAUUAAAUGCUUCCAUCGAGUAACCAGUUCAUGACAAAGGACACCCACCGAGGACAGUGUAGCCAUAAAGCCCCAAAGCUCCAACCCACUAUGAAAUAUCCAACGCCAAUGAAGCACCAAUCACACGCCAAUCCAACAUAUUUACGAACACCCAACUCGUCAACACAUUCACCCCUAAAGCACAAAACGAGACAUAGGCUAACACCCUAGUCUUCAACUGGCUUUGCAAGAACCUUUGUAAUGGGAACUGAAACGCAAAGCUAAAGUGCAUAGGUAUCAACCAAAUCGCCACCACCCCCGACAUCUCCCCCACGUCGUCCAGCUGUCCGAAUAGCUUUAAAACCGGGGUAGCAAAUACGUAAAUGGGUAACAACAAAAGAGUAAAACGAUCCAUGAUCUUUGCAUGUAAAGGCCCAACAUGUGGUAUUGUUUAGCACCAAAAGCUUGUCCACAAAGGGUUUCUAAAGCACUCGCCAUUCCUAAUUAUAGUAAAGUGAAAAAAGAAAACUAAUGUUAAGAGACAAAUAUGGUAAAAAGAAAACUAAUGGAACAAAAAAGAAAGCCUGAUCUAAUGAAAAUUUACUAUGAGGCCAAAGUUGAAGCCAACGAUGGCCGUAUUGGCUAUUGAAAUAGCUGCAAGUUGAACAUCACCAAGGUGACCAGCAAAAGCUUGGGUUAUAAUGUUCAUGGAGUAAGAAGCAACAGGAAUGAUGAUUGAAGGUCCUACGAUGACCCAUAGCUUCUUUGUUUUGAUCCAUAGUCUUGUACUUAAGUCCUUCUUCGCCAUCUUCAUCUCUCCAUAUAUUUUCUUCUGGUUUUGAUUCUUCAUGAUUUGAACUUGGUUCUGUUAGUAAAGGUUGAUGGUAUUCGCCACUGUUCCCAUGGAUACUAUCCAUUAGAGACAAAAUUAAAAUAAUAGACUAUGGGCUAUCUUAGAUUUGCUUGGGACAAAAAAUAAUUUAAAAAAUUAAUAAUAAUAGGGUGCGCCAGACAAGUUGCAACCACUAAUAAAAAGAUAAUUUUUUUUCGAUUUAUUCCACAUUGUAAAAACUUUUGUAUUUUGGUUUGAAAUACAGAUGCCGCUAAUUCAUCAGGCUAAUUCAUCAGGCUGCGUCUAAAUAUUUAAAAAAAAAAUAAAGGGGUGCCAUCGAUUGGUAAGCGGUAUCAAUUGUUUACUGUUCUCUUUGUCCGUAAAUAUUAAUCUUCUUAUCUUAUUCUGGUAUUUAUUUAUUUCUUUUAUAUCAUUUAUAUAAAAAUACCCUAUAGUAUCUGAACUUGAUUAGAGGUGCAGGAACAAGAGCAGCACUAGUAACCAAGAAAUACACCAAUACCCAGAUUAGAGGUGAUCUUGGCCUGGCCGGGCUGAGCCUCAAUAGAAUUUUAGGUCCAUUUUUUAGGCAACUUGAAAAUGGACUUAAAAUUUUGCCCAAAUAAAAAUGCUAAUAUCUAAGCCUAGCCCGACCGCCAGUAUUAAAAUUUUUAUAUUAUUAUUUUUAUAUAAAACAAAUUUAAAAAUAUAAUACACUAAAAAUAUUUAAAUAAAUAUUUCUCAACAAAUUAAAAAUAAAUUAAAAAGUAUAUACAUACUUAAAUAACACUAAAAUAGGUGUAAUUUAGCAAGCAAAUGCCUAUAAAAUAAUAGCAAAAUUAACAAUAAAACGAGAGUUAUACAAUAUUCAAAUAAUAUCAAUAAAAUAGUCACAAUAUAAUAGCGAAAUGACAACAAAACAUUGGUAAAAUAGAAUCAGUUAUUUUUUGCAAAUUUAGGCCAGGCAAAAAAAACUUACCCAAAACCUAACUCAUUUAGAAAACAAGUCUCAUUUUUUGCUCAAGCUCAUUUUGUGGAUCUGUAUUUUUCUCAAAUUUUCCCACCUUUUAUACGAGCCUUUAUGCCAGGCCAAAUGACCUAACCCAUAAUCAAAUCUAAGACCAAGUGAGUAAGCAAAUGUAGUUCAGAUAUUUUAGCACAUUAUAAAAAAUUUACUUUUUAAGGCAAUGUUUAAAACAUAAAGUUUACUAUUGAAAUUGAAACAUGUUUAAAAUAAAAAUUAUCGUUUUAUAAAUAAAAGUAUCAUGAAAACCGAUUAAAAUAUUCAUAAAAGUCAAUUUUUUUUUAAAAAAAAGUACCUGAUUAGGCCUGGCACACGGCCGUGUGGCGUUAAUAGUCAUGUUUUUCUGCAUCUAAAAUUCACAAAAACUUGGGUUUUCAGUACGCAGAUGAAGCAAUUUUGAAGCAAGAGCAAUGUAAAAGACUCCCGAAGCCUAAAGCGACCAUUCAAUAACACAAGACCUUAUAACAGAAAAAGAAUACCCAAUUAUGCAUAGAAAACUAUGUCCAAAGUUUUGACACAAAACCUUCAACAAUUCCAGACUUACCAACAAAAUCAACAGUGAUUACUCGAGUUAUUGCACUGAGGAUCGUUGCUUUUGAUAUCCUCGCCUAAAAAGAAACCAAACGGUCCCUUAAAAGAAGGUUUAAACAAUUUGAGUUGGAAACGACUCCGACAAAAACGAAUGAACUACCGUAUAACAAAAGUUCUAUGAUUAACGAAAUUCACACAAUUGAUGUAAUUGGUAGUAAGGACACGCGUACUUACCUGACAAUAGUAGCAAACAAAAUGUGCAGACCAAGCAACAAUUGGAUGAAGAAAAGAAGGAAAAAAGAACAAAAAGAAAUAGAUGAAAAAAAAAAAGAAAGAAGAAAAGGAAAAAAUGGCAAUGGAAAGGAAGAGGGAACGCUUAAUAAUCUAACCAUCGAUCAAAAUUCUGACAUUACGCAAAAACAUUACCUAAUGCAUACGCUGAGACUCAAACACAGGACCAGAAAGUAGACAGAUGCUUAACCAGUGAACCAGCAGGCUCGUUCUUGACUUAAAAAAAUAGAACGUCGAUAAUGACAAUAUAUCAUAAAGAAAAGAAAAAGAAAAAUAAAGAACACAUAGAAUUUUAAGUAGAAACCCUUUUGGGAAAAAAACACAGGUAAAGGAGAAGAUAAUUCACUAUAUCGAAUUCAAAUGACUAUAAGAGGAGUAGACUAUGUCUAUUUAUAGGCUUGUAAAACCAUAUUAUAAUACAAUGAGUGUAGUAAGGUUGAAACACCUUAUUCUAAUCAAUAUCGAAUAUAUGAAGUGUAAUAAGGUUGAAAAAGCUUAUUCUAAAAUAAAAUAAAAGAAGUCAUGUAGUUCUAUAUGGAUUUUACUUUUAUUUUAUUUUACCACUGUAUUUUACUUUAACAAGGAUUCGAGUCACUCAAUUCUAACAAUCUCCACCUUGACACAAAACGAUAACAUAAGUUACUAGAAUGUAACAUUUCAAACAUAAGUGACUAAAAUGUAAUCUGAGGAAAAUAAAAGUGACUAUUUUUGCCGUUUAUCCUAUUAUUAAUUAUUUUUUAUUUAAAAUUUAAUUUAAUUAGAAUUAAAUUAAAAUAUAAUUUUUUUAGCAAAAUUUGAUUAAUAACUUAUCCCUAAUAAUUAUUUUUGAUGUGUGUAUUUAACGUUGAAAACCUUAAUUUUCCCUAUUAAUUACUUUACUAUGAUUUAAGUCGUGAAUACCCCAACGUUAAGUUACAACCAUCAUCUUUUCACCAUCAUAAUUCAUUUGGAUGCCAAUCAACUACAACUUACAGAAAAAGCAAAAUUAAACAUAACUUCCUCAUCUACUUCUACCAAACUUACAAAUCACACUUUUUGUUUCAUGUCUAUCCAAAUAUGACUGCAAUACCACCCUCUGCACUUCUUCUUUUCUCACUCACUGCCCCUUCUAUAUCAUCACUUCACCCCCAAUUUCAAUGACAGGGAUGUGGGAAAUGUUGGCCCAAUCUUUGCCUUUCUCCUUUUUACAACGUUCCUCCAGCAAAGGACAGUUCCUAAUUUCCAAACAAGAAAGAGAGGGAGGGAGCAUGUUUGGGGGCAUGGAUUGGAGCUUGGGACAGCUGCGGAUAUUCAAUUCGCAAAGAGAGGUGAGGUGUUGAAACCCCUUAUACUCCAAACCCUUUAGAUUUGGAAGACCCCAGAUCCAGAGAGUUUCAAGAGAAGAGGGAAGCAGAUGUUCGUCUGGAAAACACUCCAUCCCUACUUCUGAAACCCCGAUAUAGAAAUAUGUAAGAGAAGGGAGUGUAUGCAAACUCCAUUCCCUUUUCCUAAUCAAGCUCUCAAUUAGUUUAUCACUUCCUCCGAUUCUAAUUUCUUUUAAUUUGGAGGGCAAACCCUCUUUUGGAACCCUCUCUAUUUCUGGACAACCAUCUAUUAACAACAACUCGAGGGAAAGAAAGACAGAGUGCAUUUGCUCUGGCAAUGACUUUAGACUUUUGCAACUCCAAAGCUCAAGUCGGGUCAAAUUGGUGACAACUAAUCCAUCUUCAAUUUGAAGAGAUAUCAAAUUUUGGCACCACCAUAUUUCCAAAGAAUUGAGACAUGUUAGAUGCUGGUGGUGAGAGCCCUCUAAAGCUGCACUAAUAAACUUCAAGUCUUCACAUCUAGAAAUAUCAACAUGCUUUAGCAUAGGAAACGAUCCUAAUGGGAAAGAUUCCAGUUGACCAAACUUCGUAUCUUCUAUCUCCAAAGAUUCAAGGGAUGUAUACAAGAAGAUUUUGGAAUGAUCAAAAGCUUUGCACUGCUCGAUCCUCAAUUGUUUCAAUGCAAUAGACACACUACCUUCAAGAAGGGAUUUGAUAUCAAGACAAUUGAGAUAAUUAACUUGUCGAGAUGAGUGCAGUGUUGCAACAUCUGUUCCAAUAUGGAAUCAUUCAUAUUCGAACCUCCAAUUUCCAACUCUCGAAGCCCACAAGGCAAUGGCUCCAAUUGCAAUGCGUUGCAUUUCUUUAACUGAAGUUCACAAAUGCUUGGUGUCCUUGGGAGAAAACAUUCAAGCUUCUCACAAUUUGCAAUCACCAAUUUCUUUAAAGAGGGGAGGUGUUUAGGUAUAGACUUGAUUAGCUUUGGACAACCCCUGAUGCGUAGCUCUUGCAGAAGGGAGAAAACUAGCAAGGUCAUACAAUGUUGAUUUUAAAAAGAUAGUUUGGAAGCUAUUAAAGCUAUCCAAGAUUCAAUUGCAACGCCUUCUCUUGUCCAUUACUGUAGAACUCCUCACCAACCAUUACAACUUCGCUGAACCCAGAAAUGGAGAGAGAUUUCAAAGAUGAUAAUUGGCCAAGCGGAGGCAAAGAUAUGCAAAAUUUACAAUCUUGCAACUCCAAAGAUACCAUAUUUGAGAAGAAAAAAUGCCCCACCCAUUCUGGAAAUCUCGUGCCUUUGUAACUUUCAAUAACUAGAUGCUUCAAGUUUGUAUUAGGCUCCAAUUGUUCCAAUACUUCUCUAUCAUGCUUUGAGUCACCAUCAAUAUCAUCAUAUUCACCCCAUGUCAACUUCAACUCCUUAACAUUAACCUUAUCCUUCAAAUUGGCAUCUUUGGCAUCCCUGGCAUAUACAACAUUUUUCAGUCUUGAAAUGGCAAGUCUUCCCCGUAAAUGCUUGAGCUUUCCCAACUCAUUAAUGCUUGAACCAGUUUGAUCACCUAUAACAAAAUCUGUUAAGAUUCGAAUAUCUUUCAACUUACCCAUCCCUUCUGGCAUCCCAGUUAACUUUGCUCCCCUAAUAUCAAGAUAAAGCAUGUUGAUCAAUCUCCCCAUGUCUCUCGGCAACUCAACAAGGCCACUGCAUCCAUUGAAUGUCAAUGCUUGCAAAUUAUACAAUGUACACAGAGAAUUUGGCAACCUUGUGAUUGAAGUUUUUGAGAGAUUCAAAUUUCGUAGAUGCUUCAAGUUACUAAUUUCUUUUGGCAAUUCUUUGAUAUUGACAUACCCAGCCAAAGAAAGCACUCGUAAGCUUGAUUUCAUCAACAAAUCAUGCAUUAGCACAUUGCUAACAAAGCAAUAGUAAGAACUCACAUUUAGGAAAGCACGCAGACGUUUUGCUUCAGGUAAGUUCUGAAAUUUUUGUCGCACAUCAUAAAAUUCUUGGACAUUGGACAAAUGACGAGUCCUUUCGAUUAUUUCACAAGAAUCACCAUUACCUUCCAAUCUGCAAAUAAACCCUCCAGCGAUAGAUUUAGCCAAAUCACUGAUUAGAUCAUGCAUGACAAAACUAGAUUUCUUUCCAUUCGAUUGCUGAAAAAAUGACCUCAAUCUUAUAUCUUCAAAAUAGUCAUCACCUCGUUCUUCCACAUCACCAUGGUCAUUUGGAAGCUCUAAAAGACCUUCAGCCAUCCAUAACUGAAUUAGUUCUUCCUUCUCAAAUUCGUAAUCUUUAGGGAAAAUUGAACAAUAAACAAAACAUCGCUUUAAAUGUGAAGGAAGAUAAUAAUAACUCAAUUUCAAUGCGGGAAGAAUAUCAUUUGGUAGGUCCCAAAAAUUGCUAUGUAAUAUUUUGUUCCAUUUAGCAGCGUCUAGAUUACAACGCAGAAGACCUCCUAGAGUUUUUGCAGCCAGAGGGAGGCUGUCACAUCUUUUGACAAUUGCUUUACCGAUUGCCAUCAGAUCUGGAUGCAUGCUUGGGAUUGUACCAACGAAUGCAUGCUUUGCAAAUAGCUCCCAACAGUCAUCAUUUGAUAAGGUCUGUAGAGGAUAACUUGGAACAGUCUUCAUAAUGGAGGCAACACUUUCAUGACGUGUUGUUACAAUAAUCUUGCUGUUUUGUGCCCCAAAACUGAAAGGAAUUCUGAGCUCAUCCCAAUCAGCAGACCUUAAGUUCCAAACAUCGUCUAAAACCAAUAGAAAUUUCUUUCCCGACAAUUUGUGACUGAGUUGAAGUUGAAGCUGAUUUAAGCUCUGACUAUCAUCAUAACCACCAGGGAGCUCUUGGAGGAUGGCUUUAGUUACUUUGAAAGGAUCGGAUUCUUCCGAAACACACACCCAUGCUUUGGGCUCAAACCAUUCGGCCACUUUCUGGUCAUUAUAGAUCAAUCGUGCGAGCGUGGUUUUGCCAAGCCCGCCCAUACCCACAAUGGGAAUCACAUCUACCUUAUCAUCAGCGGACAGAUUUUGACGGUGCAGCAACUCCAUUAUAUCUUCUUUUUCACCAUCUCUGCCAUAAACACCAGACUCGUCCACCAAAGAAGAAGUUGCACGUGAUCUCCGAUACUCCUUUUCUGCUCCAGAAAUUCCUUCCAAUUUCAGGGUAUCUUUCUGGCUGACUAUAUAUUCUAGUCUCCCAAGGAUCUCCUCCAGCUUUGACUGCAUCUCAUCUUUGAAAGGAUUGAAACAAGAGAAAAUGCUACUAACCUGCUUCAUAGCAGUGGUUUGAUAUUCGGAUUCGAUCUUGUUCCGAAGAGCUUCGGUAGAGAUCUCGUCCAGGAGGUCCUCGGCAUCAUAAACAGCAUCUUUGAGCUCAUCAAUCCAACUUUUGACAUUUGGGC